ACGGGGAGCAGCAGGCGCGAAACCUUUACACUGCACGCCAGUGCGAUAAGGGGACCCCGAGUGCGAGGGCAUACAGUCCUCGCUUUUCGUGACCGUAAGGUGGUCACAGAAUAAGAGCUGGGCAAGACCGGUGCCAGCCGCCGCGGUAAUACCGGCAGCUCGGGUGAUAGCCACUAUUAUUGGGCCUAAAGCGUCCGUAGCCGGCCGAACAGGUCCGUCGGGAAAUCCACCCGCUCAACGGGUGGACGUCCGGCGGAAACCAGUCGGCUUGGGGCCGGGAGACCAGAGAGGUACGUCCGGGGUAGGAGUGAAAUCCUGUAAUCCUGGACGGACCGCCGGUAGCGAAAGCGUCUCUGGAGAACGGACCCGACGGUGAGGGACGAAAGCUUGGGUCUCGAACCGGAUUAGAUACCCGGGUAGUCCAAGCUGUAAACGAUGCUCGCUAGGUGUGGCGUUGGCUACGAGCCAGCGCUGUGCCGUAGGGAAGCCGAGAAGCGAGCCGCCUGGGAAGUACGUCCGCAAGGAUGAAACUUAAAGGAAUUGGCGGGGGAGCAC
rnacentral:rRNA from 1 species